CCUCCAUGGUGGUCGUCUUCUCCUCGCAUAAAAGAGCAUCGAUCAACCCUUGCUGGAUGAGCACGUCCUUCAUCCUUGCCUGCCACAAGGAGAAAUUGCUUUUUCCAUUAAACUUGUUGAUCUCCAUCUUGAUUGAUCAUAUCUUCUCUAUUUUCAGUCUUGCUAACCACCGCUGCAAUCUGCAUCCUUGUACCGCCUCACUCUGAUACCA
rnacentral:lncRNA from 1 species